GACGUGGUGGCCAAAUAGUUAGCGCGUUGGACUCCGGAUCAAGUAGUCUGGGUUCGAGCCCUGGCCUGGGUCA